rnacentral:rRNA from 1 species
GCACUGGGAGCCGAUGAAGGACGUGGGAGGCUGCGAUAUGCCUCGGGGAGCUGCCAACCGAGCGUGGAUCCGAGGAUGUCCGAAUGGGGAAACCCGGCACGAGUGAUGUCGUGUCACCCAACGCUGACUAUAUAGGCGUUGGGGGGGAACGCGGGGAAGUGAAACAUCUCAGUACCCGUAGGAAGAGAAAACAAAAGUGAUUCCGUGAGUAGUGGCGAGCGAAAGCGGAGGAUGGCUAAACCGCGUGCAUGUGAU